rnacentral:rRNA from 1 species
GUGUCAGCCGCCGCGGUAAUACGUAGGGCGCAAGCGUUGUCCGGAAUUAUUGGGCGUAAAGAGCUCGUAGGCGGUCUGUCACGUCGGCUGUGAAAACCCGAGGCUCAACCUCGGGCCUGCAGUCGAUACGGGCAGACUAGAGUUCGGUAGGGGAGACUGGAAUUCCUGGUGUAGCGGUGGAAUGCGCAGAUAUCAGGAGGAACACCGGUGGCGAAGGCGGGUCUCUGGGCCAUUACUGACGCUGAGGAGCGAAAGCGUGGGGAGCGAACAGGAUUAGAUACCCGAGUAGUCC